AUUGCUCUCCGUAAUAUUGUACUUAAAAGAAAAUUGUACCUAUAGUCAAUUUAUGUAAAAAUUAGUGGUGCUAUUCGGAAAGGCAGAGUGUGACUCUCGUCCCCUUGAAAUUCGUAUACAUAAUAUCAGUAUAUGUGUUAAUCGAUGAUUUUGCAGGUUCAUUCAGGAUUAAAUAUUUAAUACAUUUUUUUCUAGAAAUGCUGCACAAUUACAUUCCAUUUCAAACGCUUUUUUAAUAAUAAUAGACCUGAUGCA